rnacentral:ncRNA from 1 species
UUCGUAUUCCGCGGAACAUAGUUGAUGAAGGCGUAUCCUCGGGCUUGGUCGAUGGUGUGGAACAGUGGGUUCCAGUCGAACAUGGCGAUCAUGAAGCCGGGCAGGGAAUUGGCAACGAACAUCUUGCCCGACGCGAUCAUGUUCGCGCGUUU